GACGAACGCUGGCGGCGUGCUUAACACAUGCAAGUCGAACGGAAAGGCCCUGCUUUUGUGGGGUGCUCGAGUGGCGAACGGGUGAGUAACACGUGAGUAACCUGCCCUUGACUUUGGGAUAACUUCAGGGAACUGGGGCUAAUACCGGAUAGGAGCUCCUGCUGCAUGGUGGGGGUUGGAAAGUUUCGGCGGUUGGGGAUGGACUCGCGGCUUAUCAGCUUGUUGGUGGGGUAGUGGCUUACCAAGGCUUUGACGGGUAGCCGGCCUGAGAGGGUGACCGGCCACAUUGGGACUGAGAUACGGCCCAGACUCCUACGGGAGGCAGCAGUGGGGAAUAUUGCACAAUGGGCGGAAGCCUGAUGCAGCAACGCCGCGUGCGGGAUGACGGCCUUCGGGUUGUAAACCGCUUUCGCCUGUGACGAAGCGUGAGUGACGGUAAUGGGUAAAGAAGCAUCGGCUAACUACGUG
rnacentral:rRNA from 1 species